AACGAACGCUGGCGGCAGGCUUAACACAUGCCAGUCGAACGCCCCGCAAGGGGAGUGGCAGACGGGUGAGUACCGCGUGGGAACAUACCCUUUUCUACGGAAUAGCUCUGGGAAACUGGAAUUAAUACCGUAUACGCCCUACGGGGGAAAGAUUUAUCGGGGAAGGAUUGGCCCGCGUUGGAUUAGCUAGUUGGUGGGGUAAAGGCCUACCAAGGCGACGAUCCAUAGCUGGUCUGAGAGGAUGAUCAGCCACAUUGGGACUGAGACACGGCCCAAACUCCUACGGGAGGCAGCAGUGGGGAAUAUUGGACAAUGGGCGCAAGCCUGAUCCAGCCAUGCCGCGUGAGUGAUGAAGGCCUUAGGGUUGUAAAGCUCUUUCACCGAUGAAGAUAAUGACGGUAGUCGGAGAAGAAGCCCCGGCUAACUUCGUG
rnacentral:rRNA from 1 species